UCACUGGUGAUGCCCUCGGUCAUAAUGUCUGUCAUCUUGCAGCAGGACGACAGCAUCCUCAUGCUGAGCUGGUCCACCACUAGGGCCUGGAAGAUGGAAGGGACAGAAGGAAACAGAUCAGGGAGACAGAGAGGAAGAUAGGGAGAGGAGGAAUAGAGGUGAGAGAGACGGGUCAGGAAGGAGAGGAAGAAGCAAAUUAAGAGAAUAGAUAUGAGAGAGACAGAUCAGGUAGAUAGACGGAGAUACAGUGAGAGGAGGAAUAGAGAUGAGAUACAGGUCAGGAAGACAGAGGGAGAAGCAAAUUAGAGAAUAGAUAUGAGAGAGACAGAUCAGGUAGAUAGACGGAGAUACAUUGAGAGGAGGAAUAGAGAUGAGAGACAGGUCAAGGAGACAGGAAGACAGGAAGAGGAGGAAUAAAGAUGAGAGACAGGUCAAGGAGACAGGAAGACAGGGAGAGGAGGAAUAAAGAUGAGAUACAGGUCAAGGAGACA